UCAUUAUCGGUGUCGCGCGCCUGUGCAUUCUUUUUCUCUCUCUGGUUGUUGAGCUGGAGUAACUCCAGAUAUACGAACCCUGCUAUUAUUUCUUGUUGUGACAAAUCUGACACUGAGUUUCAAAAUUCUGGUUUUCACAAGAUCUUGAGUUUCAACUGGCUUUUCUGAAGAGUAUUUGACAGCAAUAGUAACAACACUGGAAACAAACCUCAGUUCUGCUGAAACCAGACCCCUGCUGUGCCUUCCUACAAGAGCCAGGCUGUCUCUCAUAAAUUCUCCAGAGCAAAGCUUGGAACCAAUUUCUCCCUCAACUCCCAGCGACCUGCUUCUUCCUUCCACUUCUCUGGGAAUCAGGCAGUGUGAGCCCAAAAGCAAAAUGAAGGUGUCUCAUUUAGAGCUCCUUUCCAAUCAGGAAGAGUUGGGUUUGAAUCUCACUUCCUAACUAGGCAAAUCACGUAACCUCUCUGACCUUCCUCUUUGAAAAGCUGUUGAUAAAUAUCUAUUUCAUAGUGUGGCUGGUUGGAGAAGGUAGCGUUGGCAACGCAUUUGGCCCACUGUUGAACACUUAGUAAUGCUCGGUCAAUGGCAAAUAUUAUUAGGAGUAUUCACUUUAUGCUCUUCUACUGUCCGGAAAGGUUGACACAGAAAUCCCAACCGUCUUGCAAGUGAUGUGUACCAGCCAUACCCACAUCUUUCCCCCGCCCACUCUGCCACAUGGCGCAACAUGAGAGAAGGCCCAGUUAGGCAGGGCCCCCUCCCUGGCAUUUCGUGACAAUGGGUGGCUUGUGGCUGAGGGGAUUUGGGGUCUAAAGUUUCAGAGCUGCGCAGACUGCUGCCCCCUUAGCUGUCCCUGCAGGGACAGCAGGCAAGUAUGAUGUUAAAAAAAAAAA